rnacentral:rRNA from 1 species
UACGGGGGGGGCAAGCGUUGUUCGGAAUUACUGGGCGUAAAGGGCUCGUAGGUGGCCAACUAAGUCACACGUGAAAUCCCUCGGCUUAACCGGGGAACUGCGUGUGAUACUGGAUGGCUUGAGUUUGGGAGAGGGAUGCGGAAUUCCAGGUGUAGCGGUGAAAUGCGUAGAUAUCUGGAGGAACACCGGUGGCGAAGGCGGCAUCCUGGACCAAUGCUGACGCUGAGGAGCGAAAGCGUGGGGAGCGAACAGG